CCGGAGGAAUUGGAUCGGCUUGCUGUACGACCCGCUGGUCGGUGAAGGGGCGAGGUCAACCUGCUUGGGUCGCCGCCGCCGAUGCUCGCCGUAUUGGGCAGGAAGAAGAUGACUCGAGAGAGAAAGAGUGGAGGGGAGGCGCGGUUAUAGAGGAGGACGGUGAUUGUGAUGUGGGGAGGAGGAGGGAAAGAUGCAUGCACCUGGACCGGAUGGGGAGCACCCGCAGGUGGCAGGCGCUUUCGUUUCGUCGGCGGCUUUCUUUUGUGCCUCCGUGCCGGACGGUUGCACUUGCAUUCUCCGUACUUGCCACAGUUGCUUUCCCCGUAGGCCGUAG
rnacentral:misc_RNA from 1 species